CAUAGCUGGGUAUACAACAACUAAUGCCCAUGUGGCAAAUAAUCAACCUAAUUACAUUGCAGGGUAUAGGACUAGCACCACCCAAGAAUCCAAUACACCUUCUUACAUUGCAGGGUAUAGGACUAGCACCACCCAAGAAUCCAAUACACCUUCUUACAUUGCAGGGUAUAGGACUAGCACCACCCAAGAAUCCAAUACACCUUACAUUGCAGGGUAUAGGACUAGCACCACCCAAGAAUCCAAUACACCUUACAUUGCAGGGUAUAGGACUAGCACCACCCAAGAAUCCAAUACACCUUACAUUGCAGGGUAUAGGACUAGAACCACCCAUGAUCCUAAUGCACCUUACAUAGCUGGGUACACAACAACUAGUGCCAAGAAAGCUCCAAAAGGGUCAUCUCAUGAUGAUACCACUGGACCUUACAUAACCCAAUAUGGUGGACCCGGUCCCAAAAAU
rnacentral:lncRNA from 1 species